UACGGAGGAUGCGAGCGUUAUCCGGAAUCAUUGGGUUUAAAGGGUGCGUAGGCUGGUAUUUAAGUCAGUGGUGAAAUUUUCGUGCUUAACAUGAGAGCUGCCAUUGAUACUGGAUACCUUGAGUGUAUUUGAUGUGGGCGGAAUGUGUUGUGUAGCGGUGAAAUGCAUAGAUAUGACACAGAACACCGAUAGCGAAGCAGCUCACAAAGUUACAACUGACGCUGAUGCACGAAAGCGUGGGGAUCAAACAGG
rnacentral:rRNA from 1 species